rnacentral:rRNA from 1 species
UACAGAGGGUGCGAGCGUUGUCCGGAAUCACUGGGCGUAAAGAGCGUGUAGGCGGUCCGGUAAGUCCGCUGUGAAAGUCGGGGGCUCAACCCUCGAAUGCCGGUGGAUACUGUCGGGCUAGAGUGCGGAAGAGGCGAGUGGAAUUCCUGGUGUAGCGGUGAAAUGCGCAGAUAUCAGGAGGAACACCUAUUGCGAAGGCAGCUCGCUGGGACGUAACUGACGCUGAGACGCGAAAGCGUGGGGAGCAAACAGG